ACCAUCAUUUUUGACAUACAUUUGUAAAUUUAUUUCGUCAAGUGAUCACAUGUUGAUAAUUUAGAUGAGGACCUGCGCAGCAGCAGAGGCGCAGCUGAUUGGAGCGGAGUUGGCCAAACGCGAAGGGUAGGCAAAAGGAAGCAAUCUCAGAAGCAGCAUCGAUACCAUUGCUGUUCCUGGCGAUAACCUGGCUACUGGUGGCGGUCACAACUGGAGCGGGAGCAGCUACCACGGCAGCAGGAGCAGAGUAGGCCAGAGGAGCAGAGUAAGCCAGAGGACCAGUGUACGCCAGGGCAGCACACAGGACUCCAGGCUUGGCAGCAGCGCAGGCGACGGUUAUCAGGACAAGGACGGCCUGUAAACAAAUCAGCUUGAUUAGUUUAAUCCUCUAUGGAUCCUUUCUGAAGAACUUUAUGUGAUUUCCCACUGCUGACUGCAGAAUGUGGAAUAACUCUUGGUGGCCACGGAAUGCGAUGGCCUGAGAUCACAGGCGCAGUCCCGAUGCGGCGCAUAAAUAGUGGUAUGGAAUGUGUUGGGCGACAUCAGGUUCAAGUUUUCGAACCGAAAGCACCAGAUCCAUAAUCCAAAUGUUUAAAUCCGACGUCCUUGUCUUGGCCAUCGUCUCCUGCUCUGCUGCCAAGCCUGGACUGCUUUGGACUACACUGCUCACGUGGUUCCUCUGCUUCACUCCGGUCUGACUGUCGUGGUAGCUGCUCUCGCUCCAGUUGUGACCGCUGCCAGUUAUCAGGUUAUCGCCAGGAACUACAAUGUAAUUGCUCUUGCUCCUGUGAUUGCUCCUGUGAUUGCUCCCGUGGCUUUUCUCUGGCUGUGCCUCUCUUGGCCCAGUACGCAGCCGCUCCUCUGGCUGCUCCAUGACCUACUCCUCGCCUUUGGCUUACUCCGCACCACUGAGCUACGCCGUUCCAUUUACACAGCUCCCUAUCUAAAUUACUAAGCUGUGAUCACCUCGGAGACAAUGAUAAUAAAUGGAGAUAUAAUAAGACGUUAUUCAAUUGUAUAUUCUUUUGCAAACACGCUUCAAAUUAGUAUUUAUUUUAAUGAAAAAUUAUAUCUGAACGUACACG
rnacentral:sRNA from 1 species